ACACACACACACACACACACACACACACACACCCGAAAAGAGGGUGAUUUUCUCUCUCCCCCCCGCCUGCUCCCUGUGCUUUGCUGAUCUCACCGAAGCUUUUCAGCCUCCGAGAAGUUGAUGCAAAUCUCUUUUUGUUAUUUCG